UUCUCUUUGCACCUGGUCUUGGCGCUUUUCCUGAUAUUUCUCUGGAAAUUGGUCUGUUUAGCACUCUAUUCGAGGUGCCUCUACCUUUUGUGGACAUAUACGUGGAGUGGUUGCAUUGGUUGGUUGGAUCACAUCAAUGUCUUUAUAAAGGCUUUUUUUGGAAUACAAACUGUCAAUUCUGCAGAUAACUGGUACUUUUGCUCACAGAGCCAAGAAGCAUCGGGACGCCUCGAAACACUUUACGUUCCCACACCUAAGACAUACGAUGAUGCGUCUGCUGAGUGUGCCCGGAGAGGUAGCAUUCUGGCAAAUAUCCAGACUAGAUAUCAUGGAGAGUGUGCAAGAGAACUGCUUGGACCCCGAAACGGUCAGUGCAACAGUUCGUCCAGUGGUAACUGCACGACUUCCUCGUACUUCUGCAAAACCAAUACAUGCAAUGUGUGGGUUGCUCUUCAACGACCAUCUCCAUCCAAAACCUGGACAUGGAUGUUACCUGUUCCAAUCGCUGCAAAAAACGUUUCUUGGAUUACUGCACCACUACAAGAAGGUGGUGGACGGAACGAAUGCGGAUAUUAUUCCCCGGAGAAAGACAGUUUUGGAAUCGAAUCUUGCUCAAUGAAGCUAAGUUUCUAUUGCCAAAGAUAUACACCAAAAGUGCCCUCCGCCAUAGCUGUCAACUCUACAGACACGCACAUCUACGCACGCAUAGUACAGCCUAAGAUACUUCGAGAUUGGGUUUCUGAUUUCUGCUUUCUGUACGAGAAAAAUGGAACUGCGGCUACCCCGACGGUAGUGUGCGACAAAAAUGAAUCAACUGUUCUGUCAGGCCUGGCAACAAAUACUUUGUACCGGAUCAGAGCAUUCUUCAAAACUACGAUCGGACACAAUAGCAGCAUGUCCUCCGAAAUCAAAAUUGGAACAUUGCCGAAAGCACCAAAUCCGCCUCUCAACCCCGUCAUCUCAAGUACUACUAUCACGGUGUUUCUAGGGCAAAUAGAAGAAGGCAACCUUCCCAUACGCCAGUAUUGUGUGCACGGAAUACCUGCUA